rnacentral:rRNA from 1 species
AACGAACGCUGGCGGCAUGCCUAACACAUGCAAGUCGAACGAGAUCUUCGGGUCUAGUGGCGCACGGGUGCGUAACGCGUGGGAAUCUGCCCUUUGGUUCGGAAUAACAGUUGGAAACGACUGCUAAUACCGGAUGAUGACGAAAGUCCAAAGAUUUAUCGCCAAAGGAUGAGCCCGCGUAGGAUUAGCUAGUUGGUGUGGUAAAGGCGCACCAAGGCGACGAUCCUUAGCUGGUCUGAGAGGAUGAUCAGCCACACUGGGACUGAGACACGGCCCAGACUCCUAUGGGAGGCAGCAGUGGGGAAUAUUGGACAAUGGGCGAAAGCCUGAUCCAGCAAUGCCGCGUGAGUGAUGAAGGCCUUAGGGUUGUAAAGCUCUUUUACCCGGGAUGAUAAUGACAGUACCGGGAGAAUAAGCUCCGGCUAACUCCGUGCCAGCAGCCGCUGUAA